rnacentral:rRNA from 1 species
UACGUAGGGUGCAAGCGUUAAUCGGAAUUACUGGGCGUAAAGCGUGCGCAGGCGGUUGUGUAAGACAGAUGUGAAAUCCCCGGGCUCAACCUGGGAACUGCAUUUGUGACUGCAUCGCUGGAGUGCGGCAGAGGGGGAUGGAAUUCCGCGUGUAGCAGUGAAAUGCGUAGAUAUGCGGAGGAACACCGAUGGCGAAGGCGGCAUCCUGGACCGAUAUUGACGCUGAUGCGCGAAAGCCAGGGGAGCAAACGGG